GUCUCGGUGGUCUAAAGGCUUAGGACGCUCGCACGGAAUGCAAGAGAUCCGGGUUCGAUUCCCGGCCGAGGCA
rnacentral:tRNA from 1 species